GACGUAGGGCGCGAGCGUUGUCCGGAUUUAUUGGGCGUAAAGAGCUCGUAGGCGGCUUGUCGCGUCGACUGUGAAAACCCACAGCUCAACUGUGGGCUUGCAGCCGAUACGGGCAGGCUAGAGUUCGGUAGGGGAGACUGGAAUUCCUGGUGUAGCGGUGAAAUGCGCAGAUAUCCGGAGGAACACCGGUGGCGAAGGCGGCUUCCUGGACCGACACUGACGCUGAGGCGCGAAAGCUAGGGGAGCAAACGGG
rnacentral:rRNA from 1 species